AGGGUUUGAUUCUGGCUCAGGAUGAACGCUGGCGGCGUGCCUAACACAUGCAAGUCGAACGAAGCAAUCGGGAUGAAGUUUUCGGAUGGAUUCCUGGUUGACUGAGUGGCGGACGGGUGAGUAACGCGUGGAUAACCUGCCUCACACUGGGGGAUAACAGUUAGAAAUGGCUGCUAAUACCGCAUAAGCGCACAGUACCGCAUGGUACGGUGUGAAAAACCCAGGUGGUGUGAGAUGGAUCCGCGUCUGAUUAGCCAGUUGGCGGGGUAACGGCCCACCAAAGCGACGAUCAGUAGCCGACCUGAGAGGGUGACCGGCCACAUUGGGACUGAGACACGGCCCAA
rnacentral:rRNA from 1 species